UACGGAGGGGGCUAGCGUUGUUCGGAAUUACUGGGCGUAAAGCGCGCGUAGGCGGACCUGCAAGUCGGGGGUGAAAGCCCGAGGCUCAACCUCGGAACUGCCUUCGAUACUGCGGGUCUCGAGUCCGGGAGAGGUGAGUGGAACUGCGAGUGUAGAGGUGAAAUUCGUAGAUAUUCGCAAGAACACCAGUGGCGAAGGCGGCUCACUGGCCCGGUACUGACGCUGAUGCACGAAGGCCAGGGGAGCAAACGGG
rnacentral:rRNA from 1 species